GAUGAACGCUGGCGGCGUGCCUAAUACAUGCAAGUCGAGCGAAAAGACGAGGAGCUUGCUCCUCUGACGUUAGCGGCGGACGGGUGAGUAACACGUGGAUAACCUACCUAUAAGACUGGGAUAACUUCGGGAAACCGGAGCUAAUAACGGAUAAUAUAUUGAACCGCAUGGUUCAAUAGUGAAAGAGGGUUUUGCUGUCACUUAUAGAUGGAUCCGCGCCGCAUUAGCUAGUUGGUAAGGUAACGGCUUACCAAGGCAACGAUGCGUAGCCGACCUGAGAGGGUGAUCGGCCACACUGGAACUGAGACACGGUCCAGACUCCUACGGGAGGCAGCAGUAGGGAAUCUUCCGCAAUGGGCGAAAGCCUGACGGAGCAACGCCGCGUGAGUGAUGAAGGUCUUCGGAUCGUAAAACUCUGUUAUUAGGGAAGAACAAAUGUGUAAGUAACUAUGCACGUCUUGACGGUACCUAAUCAGAAAGCCACGGCUAACUACGUG
rnacentral:rRNA from 1 species